rnacentral:misc_RNA from 1 species
UGUUGCACAGGAGACAGCCA